AUAGCGUAUACUAAAGUUGUUGCAGUUAAAAAGCUCGUAGUUGAAUUUCUGGUCUCGAGACGCGGCCAGCCCCAAGGGGUCAGUGCUGUCGGAUUGGGACCAUCCUCGAGAAGAACAUAUCUGUCAUUGAGUUGAUGGGUAUGGGACUCUCGUCAUUUACUGUGAGCAAAAUAGAGUGUUCAAAGCAGGCUUACGCCGUUGAAUACAUUAGCAUGGAAUAAUAAGAUAGGACCUUGGUCUAUUUUGUUGGUUAGUUCUCCAAGGUAAUGAUUAAUAGGGACAGUUGGGGGUAUUCGUAUUCAAUUGUCAGAGGUGAAAUUCUUGGAUUUAUGGAAGACGAACUACUG
rnacentral:rRNA from 1 species